rnacentral:rRNA from 1 species
GACGAACGCUGGCGGCGUGCCUAAUACAUGCAAGUCGAGCGAAGCGGCGGAUGGGUGAGUAACGCGUGGGUACCCUGCACUUAAGUCUGGGAUACAAGUUGGAAACAGAUGCUAAUACCGGAUACGAAAGGAUGGACCUGCGAUGCAGUAGCGAGUUGGUAAGGUAGCGGCUUAACACGGCGAUGAUGCAUAGCCGGGUUGACAGACUUAUCGGCAACAUUGGGACUGAGACACGGCCCAAACGCCUACGGGAGGCAGCAGUAGGGAAUCUUCCACGAUGGACGAAAGUCUGAUGGAGCAACGCCGCGUGAGUGAAGAAGGUUUUCGGAUCGUAAAGCUCUGUUGUUGGUGAAGCGGUAAUCAACCAGAAAGUCACGGCUAACUACGUGCCAGCAGCCGCGGUAAUUC